UGGGGAAUUGUUCGCAAUGGGCGCAAGCCUGACGACCCAACGCCGCGUGGAGGAUGACGGUCUUCGGAUUGUAAACUCCUGUUGCCCGGGACGAAUAGCUUCGACCUAACACGGCGGAGUAUGACGGUACCGGGUGAGGAAGCCCCGGCUAACUCCGGGCCAGCAGCCGCGGUAAUACAGAGGGGGCAAGCGUUGUUCGGAAUUACUGGGCGUAAAGGGCGCGUAGGCGGCCUGCUAAGUCGAACGUGAAAUCCCCGGGCUCAACCCGGGAACUGCGUCCGAUACUGGCUGGCUUGAAUCCGGGAGAGGGAUGUGGAAUUCCAGGUGUAGCGGUGAAAUGCGUAGAUAUCUGGAGGAACACCGGUGGCGAAGGCGACAUCCUGGACCGGUAUUGACGCUGAGGCGCGAAAGCCAGGGGAGCAAA
rnacentral:rRNA from 1 species